rnacentral:rRNA from 1 species
UUAACCUGUCCUCACGUUCCGAAUAAUUGGCCNUUAUCNCUUGUAAUCCGGGCGAGGGCCACCGAAAGGCAUCUUUUGGUGUAGGAACGCGCAAGUGGCGCGAGGAGGGGAUCGCGGCUUAUCAGCUUGUUGGUGGGGUAACGGCCUACCAAGGCGACGACGAGUAGCUGGUCUGAGAGGAUGGUCAGCCACAUUGGAACUGAGAUACUGUCCAGACUCCUACGGGAGGCUGCAGUCGAGAAUCUUGGGCAAUGCACGAAAGUGUGACCCAGCGACGCCGCGUGAAGGAUGAAGGAGCUCUGCUUCGUAAACUUCUUUUAUCGGAGGAGAACGCCCUUCAGGGCUUGACGGUACCCGAUGAAUAAGCCACGGCUAACUACGUGCCAGCAGCCGCGGUAAUACGUAGGUGGCAAGCGUUGUCCGGAUUUACUGNGCGUAAAGCGUGCGCAUGCGGAAGUGUAAGUAGGAAGUGAAAGGUGGGAGCUUAACUCCCACACUGCUCCCUAUACUGCACUUCNUUGAAUGCCGGAGAGGACNAGGNAACGACACGUGUAGCGGUGAAAUGCGUUGAGAUGUGUCGGAACGCCAAUGGCCGAAAGCACNUUGUCUGGACGGAAAAUUGACUG